AACGCCUUCGGUUCGUAANCUCUGUCCUCAAGAAGAUANUGACGGUACUGGGAGGAGACCCCNNACUAACUACGUCCCAGCAGCGGCAGUUAAUACGUAGGUGGCGNGUNUUUAUNNGAUUCACUGGNCGUAAAGGAUGCGUAGGUGGAAUUUUUAAGGUGGGAUGUGAAAUCCCCGGGCUCAACCUGGGACCUGCAUUCCAAGCUGAAUUCUAGAGUGCAGGAGAAGAAAGCGGUAUUCCUAGUGUAGCGGUGAAAUGCGUAGAGAUUAGGAAGAACCCCAGUGGCGAAGGCGUCUUUGUGGACUGUACUGACACUGAAGGCAUGAAAGCGUGGGGAGCAAACAGGAUUAGAUCCCUUGGUAGUCCCACGCUGUAAACGAUGGGUACUAGGUGUAGGGGUUUUGAUACUCUCUGUGCCGCGGUAACACACAAUAAGUACCCCGCUUGGGAGAGUACCGGUCGGCAAGUAUUAAAAUCUCAAAGGAAAUUGACGGGGGCCCGCCACAAGUAGCGGAGCAUGUGGUUUUAAUCGAAAGCAACGCGAAGAACCUAACCUAGACUUGACAUGUCCUGAAUUACCUGUAAUAAGGGAAGCUCUUUCGGGAGCAGGAACACAGGUGGUGCAUGGUUGUCGUCAGCUCGUGUCGUGAGAUGUUGGGUUAAGUCCCGCAACGAGCGCAACCCCUAUAGUUAGUUGCUAACAGUAAGAUGAGCACUCUAACGAGACAGCCGCGGUUAACGCGGAGGAAGGUGGGGAUGACGUCAAAUCAUCAUGCCCCUUAUGUCCAGGGCAACACACGUGCUACAAUGGGCAGAACAGAGAGAAGCAAGACCGCGAGGUGGAGCGAACCUUGAAAACUGCUCCCAGUUCGGAUUGCAGGCUGAAACCCGCCUGCAUGAAGCUGGAGUUGCUAGUAAUCGCGAAUCAGCANUCGNNUANUNCNAACNU
rnacentral:rRNA from 1 species